GGCGGCCGUAACUAUAACGGUCCUAAGGUAGCGAAAUUCCUUGUCGGGUAAGUUCCGACCCGCACGAAAGGCGUAACGAUUUGGGCACUGUCUCGACAACGCGCCCGGUGAAGUUGUAGUACCGGUGAAGAUGCCGGUUACCCGCGACAGGACGGAAAGACCCCAUGGAGCUUUACUCUAGCUUGAUAUUGGGAUUCGAUGUUACAUGUACAGGAUAGGAGGGAGGCUUUGAAGCGAGGACGCCAGUCUUCGUGGAGCCACUGUUGGGAUACCUCUCUUGUAAUAUUGGAUUUCUAACCUAGCACCCUAAACGGGUGUGGGGACACUGUCAGGUGGGGAGUUUGACUGGGGCGGUCGCCUCCGAAAGUGUAUCGGAGGCGCUCAAAGGUCUUCUCAGAAUGGUUGGAAAUCAUUCGUAGAGUGCAAAGGCAUAAGAAGGCUUGACUGUGACACCGACGGGUGGAGCAGGUAGGAAACUAGGACUUAGUGAUCCGGUGGUAUGAAAGUGGGAUUGCCAUCGCUCAACGGAUAAAAGCUACCCUGGGGAUAACAGGCUUAUCACUCCCAAGAGUUCACAUCGACGGAGUGGUUUGGCACCUCGAUGUCGGCUCAUCGCAUCCUGGGGCUGUAUUCGGUCCCAAGGGUUGGGCUGUUCGCCCAUUAAAGCGGUACGCGAGCUGGGUUCAGAACGUCGUGAGACAGUUCGGUCCCUAUCCGUCGUGGGCGCAAGAUAUUUGAGAGGAGCUGUCCUUAGUACGAGAGGACCGGGAUGGACUGACCGCUGGUGUAUCUGUUGUCUUACCAAAGGCAUAGCAGAGUAGCCAAGUCGGGAAGGGAUAAACGCUGAAGGCAUCUAAGCGUGAAGCCCCCCUCAAGAUAAGAUAUCUCAUCCUUAAUGGAGUAAGAUCCCUGGAAGACGACCAGGUUGAUAGGCUAGGUGUGUAAGCAUGGUAACAUGUUCAGCUGACUAGUACUAAUAGAUCGAGGGCUUGAACC
rnacentral:rRNA from 1 species